AUUGCACGCUGGCGGCAGGCCUAACACAUGCAAGUCGAACGAGUGGCGGACGGGUGAGUAAUGUCUGGGAAACUGCCUGAUGGAGGGGGAUAACUACUGGAAACGGUCGCUACUACCGCCUACCAUCGGAUGUGCACAGAUGGGAUUAGCUGGUAGGUGGGGGAAAGGCUCACCAAGGCGACGAUCCCUAGCUGGUCUGAGAGGAUUACCAGCCACACUGGAACUGAGACACGGUCCAGACUCCUAAGGGAGUCAGCAGGGGGGAAUAUUGCACAAUGGGAGCAAGCCUGAUGCAGCCAUGCCGCGUGUAUGAAGAAGGCCUUCGGGUUGUAAAGCACUUUCAGCGGGGAGGCGUUACCCGCAGAAGAAGCACCGGCUAACUCCGUGCCAGCAGCCGCGGUAAUAC
rnacentral:rRNA from 1 species